AAUAGAUACCCGGGUAGUCCACGCCGUAAACGAUGAGUGCUAAGUGUUAGAGGGUUUCCGCCCUUUAGUGCUGCAGCUAACGCAUUAAGCACUCCGCCUGGGGAGUACGGUCGCAAGACUGAAACUCAAAGGAAUUGACGGGGGCCCGCACAAGCGGUGGAGCAUGUGGUUUAAUUCGAAGCAACGCGAAGAACCUUACCAGGUCUUGACAUCCUCUGACAACUCUAGAGAUAGAGCGUUCCCCUUCGGGGGACAGAGUGACAGGUGGUGCAUGGUUGUCGUCAGCUCGUGUCGUGAGAUGUUGGGUUAAGUCCCGCAACGAGCGCAACCCUUGAUCUUAGUUGCCAGCAUUCAGUUGGGCACUCUAAGGUGACUGCCGGUGACAAACCGGAGGAAGGUGGGGAUGACGUCAAAUCAUCAUGCCCCUUAUGACCUGGGCUACACACGUGCUACAAUGGAUGGUACAAAGGGCUGCAAGACCGCGAGGUCAAGCCAAUCCCAUAAAACCAUUCUCAGUUCGGAUUGU
rnacentral:rRNA from 1 species